rnacentral:rRNA from 1 species
UCAGGAUGAACGCUGGCGGCGUGCCUAAUACAUGCAAGUCGAACGCAUUACUCGGUAGUGAGUGGCGAACGGGUGAGUAACACGUAGGUAACUUACCUCUAAGACGAGGAUAACGACUGGAAACGGUCGCUAAAACUGGAUAGGAUCAUUUGAGGCAUCUCGAAUGAUUUAAAGGGGCUUUCAAGCCACACUUAGAGAAAGGCCUGCGGCGCAUUAGCUAGUUGGUGGGGUAGAGGCCUACCAAGGCGAUGAUGCGUAGCCGGACUGAGAGGUCGAACGGCCACAUUGGGACUGAGACACGGCCCAAACUCCUACGGGAGGCAGCAGUAGGGAAUUUUCGGCAAUGGGGGAAACCCUGACCGAAGCAACGCCGCGUGAAUGAAGACGUAUUUCGGUAUGUAAAGCCCUGUUGUAUGGGAAGAGUAGAAGACGGUACCAUACGAGGAAGCCCCGGCAAACUACGUGCCAGCAGCAGC